rnacentral:rRNA from 1 species
AUGGCUGGGUGCAUUUGGAGCAAAGGAAUGAUUGGGGCAUUUGAGGAAGAAUCUGUUAUUAGGGAACUGCGGAGUAUACACUUGCAGAACUGCCCAAGGCUCAAGUUUGUCCUCCCAAUCUCAUCAUUCAUAUUACCCAGCCUGGAGACCAUCCAAAUAGUCCACUGCGGUAAUCUCAGGCAGAUCUUCCCAUGGGAUGUGAAUUAUGAAGCUGGAAAAGAAGACACUGUGAAGAAUUUUCCAAAGCUAAAGCACAUUUACCUACACCAACUCGACUGCCUGGAGCAAAUAUGCGAGGCCAAGAUGUUUGCUCCCAAGCUUGAGAAGAUCAGGAUAAGGGGUUCUUGGGGCCUUAGGCGCCUCCCGGCUGUGGGCCUCCACCAUGGAAUCAAUCUUCCCAUUGUGGACUAUGAGAAGGACUUGUAG